CUUGGUCAUUUAGAGGAAGUAAAAGUCGUAACAAGGUUUCCGUAGGUGAACCUGCGGAAGGAUCAUUACAGUAGUCAUCCGGGUUGCCGCAAGGCCUCCCGGGUAACCUACCACCCUUUGUUUAUUACACUUUGUUGCUUUGGCAGGCCUGCCCUCGGGCUGCUGGCUCCGGCCGGCGAGCGCCUGCCAGAGGACCUAAACUCUGUUUGUCUAUAAUGUCUGAGUACUAUAUAAUAGUUAAAACUUUCAACAACGGAUCUCUUGGUUCUGGCAUCGAUGAAGAACGCAGCGAAAUGCGAUAAGUAAUGUGAAUUGCAGAAUUCAGUGAAUCAUCGAAUCUUUGAACGCACAUUGCGCCCCCUGGUAUUCCGGGGGGCAUGCCUGUCCGAGCGUCAUUACAACCCUCAAGCUCAGCUUGGUGUUGGGCCCCGCCGCCCCGGCGGGCCCUAAAGUCAGUGGCGGUGCCGUCCGGCUCCGAGCGUAGUAAUUCUUCUCGCUCUGGAGGUCCGGUCGUGUGCUCGCCAGCAACCCCCAAUUUUUUUCAGGUUGACCUCGGAUCAGGUAGGGAUACCCGCUGAACUUAAGCAUAUCAAUAAGCGGAGGA
rnacentral:rRNA from 1 species